AAGCGGGGAAGGAAAAAAAAAGGGGGGGUUGGGGGACGGGAGGUCGUUUGGAACCCAUUUUUCUGCGACAAAUGCUAACCUUGGAAUGGAAUGCGGAAUUGACUGCCGGAAAAAAUGGACCUGCGUUUGCGUCGGCUAGGCCGUUUAACUAAUAUGCACUAUGCUACUAUGUAUGUACUACUAUGUAUGUAUUUGGAGUGGAUCCUUCUGAUUUUCCGCGCCUCUAAAUGCGGAAUGUCUAGAUCAUGGUAGUUGAUCAAAAAUGAUGACAGAUGAGGAGAGGAAUUGAGGGAGUCGUAAAUCGGCGCAAGGCUGCCAAAUUCUUCUAUUACUACCAUCGUUAAUGAGCAUGGAUGGCAGCGUCAUGGGAAAUGACAGAAAAAACAUGGACGAUUAUUUGAUGUGACUUGAUGAGAUUUGAGCCAUUUGAUAUUCGAUGUUGAGCACCUUCCGCCAAGCACACACUAGGUCUAAAUAGAACUAGCACGAAUAGAAGC
rnacentral:sRNA from 1 species